rnacentral:rRNA from 1 species
AGUGAACGCUGGCGGUAGGCCUAACAAAUGCAAGUCGAACGGCAGCACAGUAAGAGCUUGCUCUUACGGGUGGCGAGUGGCGGACGGGUGAGGAAUACAUCGGAAUCUACUUUUUCGUGGGGGAGAACGUAGGGAAACUUACGCUAAUACCGCAUACGACCUACGGGUGAAAGCAGGGGAUCUUCGGACCUUGCGCGAUUGAAUGAGCCGAUGUCGGAUUAGCUAGUUGGCGGGGUAAAGGCCCACCAAGGCGACGAUCCGUAGCUGGUCUGAGAGGAUGAUCAGCCACACUGGAACUGAGACACGGUCCAGACUCCUACGGGAGGCAGCAGUGGGGAAUAUUGGACAAUGGGCGCAAGCCUGAUCCAGCCAUACCGCGUGGGUGAAGAAGGCCUUCGGGUUGUAAAGCCCUUUUGUUGGGAAAGAAAAGCAGCAGGUUAAUACCCCGCUGUUCUGACGGUACCCAAAGAAUAAGCACCGGCUAACUUCGUG